rnacentral:rRNA from 1 species
GACGAACGCUGGCGGCGUGCCUAAUACAUGCAAGUUGAGCGCUGAAGGUUGGUACUUGUACCAACUGGAUGAGCAGCGAACGGGUGAGUAACGCGUGGGGAAUCUGCCUUUGAGCGGGGGACAACAUUUGGAAACGAAUGCUAAUACCGCAUAAAAACUUUAAACACAAGUUUUAAGUUUGAAAGAUGCAAUUGCAUCACUCAAAGAUGAUCCCGCGUUGUAUUAGCUAGUUGGUGAGGUAAAGGCUCACCAAGGCGAUGAUACAUAGCCGACCUGAGAGGGUGAUCGGCCACAUUGGGAAUGAGACAAGGCCCAAAAUCCUACGGGAGGCAGCAGUAGGGAAUCUUCGGCAAUGGACGAAAGUCUGACCGAGCAACGCCGCGUGAGUGAAGAAGGUUUUCGGAUCGUAAAACUCUGUUGGUAGAGAAGAACGUUGGUGAGAGUGGAAAGCUCAUCAAGUGACGGUAACUACCCAGAAAGGGACGGCUAACUACGUG